CCUCUCUUUCCUUUUCUCUCUUCCUCCUUCUCCCCUCCUCCUCCCCCUCUCCUAUACUCCUCCCUCCCUAGUCUCUUUUCUCCCCUCCCCUCCCCUCCCCUCCCCUCCUCCUCUCCUGUUCCUUUUCCCCUCUCCUCUCCUCCUCUCUUCCUCUCCUCCCUCUCCCUUCCUCCCUCCCCCCCUCUCCCUUUCCUCUCCCCUCUCCUCCAUUUCUUCCUUCCCCUGUUCCUCUCCUCUCUUCUCCCGAGGCCUUUCCUUCCUUACCCUCCUUCUCCCCACUUCCCUACCCCCCACCUCUCCCCUGCCCUCUCCUCUUCCCCUCUCUCCCCCCUCCCCUGCGCCUCUGUCGGCUGUGCCUGGAGCCCACACUGACACAUCUUGUACUUCCCGUUUCCAGGGAAAUUCCUUGCCCACUCGACCACACCCGCCCUCGAGGACCUGCCCAUCUCUUUGGGCAGAGCAGAGGCCAGACAGGGACCUGGAUUGUGAGGCGACACCCCCCUGCUGGCCCUGGCACCACCAUGCCCAGCCAAAAUUAACUUUUGAGGCUGACCUUGAACUUCUGAUCUCCCUGCCUCCACCUGCCCCGGAGGUAGGAUUACAGGUCGUUCAGAUUCUGGGCUUCCCCCAUCCUUUGGCCUGCAGAGCAAAAAGCCGAGCUUCCAGGAGAGGUAUGAGACGGCUGUGGGUGCUCCAGGCCCCUCUCUGCAACUCCUGCAAGUUGCUGCGGACCGGAGGAUGACUGAGACGCAGCCUACUGCCUGUUGACAUCAGAGUUGGCGCUCCCAGGAGCGAGAGGAGGGUUAGGAACCAACAAUUCUUCUCUGAAAAUUCAGUUUAAAAUGGAUUUCAGGAUUUCUUAUUCAGAACACGGACGCUCUCCUUGUGAGUCACUGAGAUGGAGCUCUGUAUAGAGCAUCUACAGCAUGCAAAAGGCCCAGGUUUCAAUUCCCAGUAUGGUUUAUUUUUAUUUACUUAAGAUUUCUGUCCUGAAAAAACUAUUUUGACUGGACAUAGCCUAUUUAAAAGGAAAUAAAGUUUGAGUCGGGUGUAGUGGCGCACCCUUUAUUCCCAAUACCCGGGAGGCAGAGGCAGGUGGAUCUCUGGGUUUGAGGCCAGCCUGGUCUACAUGGUGAAUUCAGAGAGUUCAGGACAGCCAGGGCUACAUAGAGUCUUGAAAAGUCAAAAACAAACAAACAAACAACAAGCAAAAAAAAAAACCCAAACAAACAAAAGUUUGAGAGUAAAACCCCAUGCAUCUUCUUUUAUCUUGUUUAUUUAUUUUUUUGAGACAGAGUCUCCUGUAGCCCAGGCUGGGAUUGAACUUGGCAUAUAGCCAAGGAUGAACCCGGAUCUCCUCAAGUCUCUCCUCUCCUCCUGUCAAGAGCUGGGAUGUCAGGCCAAUGUCACCACACCUGGCUCUUCCUGGUUUUCAAAUGGAAUUCAAACAAAUCUGGAGCCUAUGUUUUUUUCUAGUUGGUCAAGAGAGAUGUCCUUACAGCUGGGUCUUGGGGGUGGAGUGUGAGUCUGUCAUCUCAGCACUUGGGAGGCAAAGCAGGACAGAUUAUAAAUGUGAGGCCAGCCGGGGCUAUAUAUGGCAAGAUCCUAUCUCAAAAACAAAUCAAAAGACCGAAGAAAAAGAGAGUGAGAAAGGCGGUCCUCUUAUGACCUCCUAAUGGCCCUCUCCCCAUGAUAAGGUAGCCAUUCCUGACUUGUGUCUGUGGGUAACCCCCAAGGGGACAGCCCACGGAGGAGUGCUAUAAUAAAGGGUGAGGGUGGGCCUUUGGCACUGUAUCUCAGGGCAUGGACCAGGGACAGUCAUGUCCUCCAGGGUUGUUUGUCUGUCUGUGAGGGCUGUUGGCAUGGUGAAGACUUCAUUGUCUCUUGCAAGAUGUGGGUGAUUGAAGGGAAGCAAGAUGGGCAGGGAAGCCCCACAAAUGUUUGGACCCACAGCAUUGGUAGGAAAGGCAGUGCCGAAAGUCAGGGGGAGAGAGGAUGUGAGAGAUCAGGAAGCCAGGGUGGCCC
ensembl:lncRNA